GACGAACGCUGGCGGCGUGCUUAACACAUGCAAGUCGAACGGAAAGGCCCUGCUUUUGUGGGGUGCUCGAGUGGCGAACGGGUGAGUAACACGUGAGUAACCUGCCCUUGACUUUGGGAUAACUUCAGGAAACUGGGGCUAAUACCGGAUAGGAGCUCCUGCUGCAUGGUGGGGGUUGGAAAGUUUCGGCGGUUGGUGAUGGACUCGCGGCUUAUCAGCUUGUUGGUGGGGUAGUGGCUUACCAAGGCUUUGACGGGUAGCCGGCCUGAGAGGGUGACCGGCCACAUUGGGACUGAGAUACGGCCCAGACUCCUACGGGAGGCAGAAGUGGGGAAUAUUGCACAAUGGGCGGAAGCCUGAUGCAGUAACGCCGCGUGCGGGAUGACGGCCUUCGGGUUGUAAACCGCUUUCGCCUGUGACGAAGCGUGAGUGACGGUAAUGGGUAAAGAAGCACCGGCUAACUACGUG
rnacentral:rRNA from 1 species